CUGCAACAAAGAGGAUUAAAUAAAUACGCACCGACCAAUCAGCUAUAGGAGUUUAAUGCGUUCCUUCUAUCAGUAUGAAUGGAAUCGAUGGCGCAUUUAUAGUCCGACGAACGGGAGGUGUUGGGGAGACGAAGCAAGAACAAAAUUCCAAAAAUUCAACUGGAUCUGCAAGCCAAACUUUUCGAGCAUUUAUUAUCACGCAACAGCCGAGACCAAACACGCUCUGUAAACAAAAUUAAAUCGCAACUAAUUAAAUCCCGACUUAUUAUUAUUUCGUGAAAGAACAGAUAUUUUUUUAUAAUUUAAUAAUUUUAAUUGGCAAAAAGAAACGGUUCCGUUGGAAUUUAUUUGAAAAGAAAAAGGAAAAUAUUAAAAUUGAAGAUACGAAAAUUCGUUUUUCCAUUCUUUUUAUUUUUUUUCCUCCCUUUUAAGAAACCAUUAAAAAGUAAGAAGUAAACGAUGAAGCACGAAGGUGACCGAUUAAAUUUGAGUUAAUUGCUUCGAUUAGAGCACUAAUUCGAGUCGAGGAAAUCUGGGACGCUAAUUGUCCUGCAAUUAGAGCAACCCGCGCAUAGAAGUCGAAAUAAAAUGAUGAUAGUCGAGUAUCGUAAAAUAACACAAAGGAGAAACGUUAAUUUAUGUUAUAAAAUGUUAUCUUUUUAAGAUAGAGAACUUUGGAUUGCGAAUUUUCCUCAAAGCAAAAUUAUUGAUUUUAAAUUUGAAGAUCUCCAAUUAUCUCUUGCGUGAGCCAAUUUUAGAAAGUGGAAAUCUUUGUUUAAAGGACCACUCGAAAAAUCAUGGACUUGGAUGCGUUCUAUCUCGAAAUUCGUUCUAUCUCGCGGGAACUUUCCACUCGAGUACCUUAAGACAAGUUACUUUCCCAUUUGAAUCGAUUGUCUUCAAUCGGAUUUUCGUCUUCGUCGACGGUCCGGCGUCUAUUCAGUGAUGAAAGAAAAAGAAAAAACGAAGGAAAAAAAGAAAAAAGAUUAAAACGAAAGAACGUAGAAAAAUAAGAUCACAGAUAACAAAAGUGCGAUAUUUAACGUUAUUUACGUUUAAUAAGUCUUAUCGUCUUAUGCGAGAUUUCGCAGUCGAAAAAAAUAAAUCUUCGCACUGGACACUAAGAAUGGUUUCGUGCAAGUCCACAGUUAAAUUUACAUAUACACGAUUCUGAUUUACAUAAACUGUACAAACCGACUAAUUCUGUUUGCGAUACAAGUCAGACAAAAGCGUAGACAGAUAUAUACGUAUAUUUAAAAAGUCUGUCCUAUCAAUUAAAUUACACUAAAAAUUUGAACUUGACUCAGACGAUUCGAUCAUUUAUUCGUCGUUUUAGCCGCCUUCGAUUUCGAUGAAACUGUACAGGUCGAUAGAGUCUUACUUCAUCAGCUAAAGAGAAGUCUAAGAGUAAUUUUCAUCCUUAAAAAUGUUAUUAUCGCAGGAAUAUAUCUUGUUAUUGCAUCGAAAUUAUUUUGUACAAAGGCAUUUUAGUGAUCUUUUAAAAAAAUUUUCAAAUCAAAAUGAAAACGAAGAUUUUACUCUAAGAAAGGACUAUGAAAAAAGAGGUAUCAGUAUUUUGCUUGUGGAACAAAGGGGAGGAAAUACCGAUAAAAGAAAAGAAAAGGAAAGAAAAGAAAAGAAAAAGGAUCCUUCGUUGGGUCCUCCGUGAGGGAAAUAUAAUUAGAUUAUCGUUCCUGGAUAAAAGAUGGUAUUACCUUUAUCUCAGUCUUUUUAAAUCAAUGUCUUUGUACGUUCGAAACUUUCUGAAUAAUUUCCCUAGUGAUUUCUCUCUUUCUCUGUACAUGUAUGUAUAUAUACAUAUAGAUAUACAUAUAUAUAUAUAUAUAUAUAUACAAUACGUACAUAUAAUAUGUCCGGUUUAAAUGUUUACACGCGAUUAUUUCCCCAAGUAUUAAAAAUCCACAUAAUGUUUGAAACAAAUGUGUGAUGUUAUAGGGGCACAAGUGGUAGUAAUAAUUGUGUGACUUUGCGAUAACUUCGGAGACCAAAGGUCAAUUUGAAUAUUUGAAUGAUACCCCCAUAUUCUUUAUUACAUAUUUCUGUUGCUGAUAUCGAAACGUUUCCAACAUAUUGCUCAUGCAUGAAUUUUGUACGGGCCAUUGUUGAGUUAUUAAGGUUUAAAUUUGGCAUUGCCCCAGCAUUUGCGUUAGCAUCAUUGCGUUACAUGGACACAACGAGAAAAUAACUUGGUCGGAUUUUAUAUACCAGUGAAAAAACGAUUGGAUUGUGUCGCAUUGAUGCAAAAUGUAUAAAUAAUGUAUUUUUAAUAAUUGACGACACGUAAAAGAACAUUAAUGUCGGCGGCAUGCCAAUUUUAAAAAUAAAACAAAACGGAACAUAACGUGGGCAGAGUCCGCCAUACGUUCAUACGACCGAUUUUCUGCUUGUUUAGGCCUUAUUCACACUUGGCACUUAUUCACAAAGUUUGUACAGACUAUUCAAAUAUACCUUAUAUAAGAAGCUUUUGAACUAUUGUUUUCUGCCAAAAAUUUCACCAAAUCUGAAUAUAAGUUGACUUUUAGAAAAGAAUUGUUUCUUUUCCGAGGACUACAGUUUGUCUAAAUUGUACUAAAGAGUCCUUACGUAAUUCAUUUAUAGAGAAAAUUGUUGAAAUAUUAAAAAAGCUCCUCGCUCUAAAAUGAACGAUAGAAAAGACCCAAGAAGAUGAGUGACGCACCACCUGUAGCAAUACAACUCCAAUGGGUAAUCGCGUUUGUUCUUUCAAGUCGAGGAUGUGCGUUGUCUGUCACGUACCAAGCUGAUACGUGUACAGGAUGCAGAAGUCGAUUGGAAAGUAGUUAGAAAUUCCCUUCAUACGUGCAGCGGUUAAACGAUUCGAAUUAUAUGAUCGAUAUUAUUGUACGAACGAUUUGUUAUGUGAUAUUUCUUUUUAACAAUGGCCACGCAUGUAAGAUGCAUAAAUUAGUACGUCUUAAGGAGACUCUCUGCUUAUCCGUUUGCAAGGAUUUACGUCAUGGAUCAUCAUGGUCAAAAUCUUUGUCCGAUUUUGAUAAUUAAGGGCUCAUUAGAAAGAUAAAAGUUUUCUAUGCGAGAUAAUCGUUUCCGAUUCUUGAGCAAAAUAUUAGUCCCUUAAGAAAAAUAAUGUCUAAAAAUGGAUCAUUGUCAAGUGUCUUUUUUGCACGAAUAAAAAUCCGUUCACGUAAAAAUCUGAAACGAUCUGAAUCUCGUGUAAACGAUUAUUUUUUGAAUGAGCUCAUAAUCUUCAAAGUCAGACGACAAUUGAGAUCGUAAAAAUUUAAGGUAUAAAUCCAGUUUUCAGCCUUUUUCCUUCUAUUUAUCAACCAUUCGUGUCUAUAUGGUCGGUGGAUAUCUGUUCCUUUAAAUGUUAAUUAGUCGAUCCCUAGAAAAAAAAGAAGAGGAAAGAAAAGAAUCCGUAUCUCUCUGAUGUAACGUAAAAAAAUAUGCAUAUGUAUGUUAUACUACAUAUGUAUAUUUUCAUCCAAGUAAAAAAGUCUCUUUUGAAAAUCGGAAAUAAUGAUCUUGCAUAAUAAUUGUUAUCUUUCGAAGGAGCUUUUGAUAAGUUCACAUGUUGCAUGGAUUUCAUCGAGAUAUGCUUACAAUACUUUUUGCAACUUUUAGACAGAUGCAAAAAAGCUAAUGCACGUAAAUAAUGCACAUCGAAUAUAAGAAAAGUAUCUACGUCUACCUAGGAAUUGCAUUUUCGUUUCUCUUACGUAAUACGUAUUAACUUCGUACCAGCUGUUCUGUAAACAUUGAUGAUCAUACAUUGUGCCUGAUUUCUCAGCUCAUAUUCUAAUUCACAAAUGCACCCGGUGUGAAGUGUACAAAAUACCUACUAUAUAAGCAUAUAUGCCGACACGAGGAAUCGAGAGAGAGAGAGAGAGAGAGAGAGAGAGAGAGAGAGAGAAAGAAAAGGGACAGAGUUCUACUAACGCGUUUUCAGUUCAUUUCUUUCCGCAUCUGUCUCUUAAAUCACACGCGUUUCGAACGAUAUUGAGUGAACAGCCUUAAAGUUUAAAAGUAGGUCACGUUUCUAAAAAGAGUGCAUUAGAGUUCACUUCGAUGCAUUGAAAAGUAAAGUCGUUACGAAUGUAUGUAAGCAAGUUUAUUCCUUUGUAUAUAACUAUUUUGUAAAUUAUUAUUAUAUAAAAUAUAUUCUUAAAUAUGUAAUUUCAAUCUCCCUUUUCCUCUCUACCAAUAUAUGAUAAUUAUAUUUUUGAUUACGUUUGUGAUAUUACUAAAUUAAAGAGUCGUCAAACUUUGAAUUUUAAAUUUAAAUAUAAUCAGAAAAUCUGAAUUUAUCUCGUUAAAAUUCACAACGAAUUAUUUUUUAACAAUUAAUUAUUUGCCAAAUGGAUCGUAUAUUUCACUUUCUUUACGGCCGGAGUUAUUAGUUUGAAUGUCAUAUAUUGCAGGCACGAUUUUAAAAGAAAAUUGUCGAAUUAUUUAUUACGCGAAGAAACGAAUUUCAAUGCGAAAUGUUUAAAUGGAGGAACGAACGCUUUUAGAAAUACGAGUUCCAACUGAAGUAAAAUUCUUUUCCAUCCACGUAUAAGAUUGCUCAAAUCGAAAUAGAAAAAGCUGCCGAUCGAGCGUCUCAAAUCCGUCGAAAAUAGGUUCUAGCGGAAAAAGAGAAAAAGAAAGAGAAUUUUUUUUCAGCGCAUUUCGUAGUAAGUGAGAAUACAUGUUUCGCCUCUGGCUAUUUUUGAAUAAAAACCCAAGGAAAUACCGCUUUAAUAAAAAUUAGGCCUCGUCUUCGCUGAAUAUUAUACGACGAUAAAAAUUGUGCGGCCAACUAAUACGAGAAAAAAGAAAGCACAGUCUCUUGUUACGUCCUACGUAAGUACGUUUAUUUAUUUCUUUUCCCAGGCUAAAGAUUUUCUACGCUGAAGGUUUGGAAUGUGUAAUCUAAGGAUCCAUUUAGGAGAGAAAGUAAACCGAUGCCUUUUUAGGAUUUACCAAACGAUAAGCUAUCCCAUUACAUCGUAUAAUCCUUCGAUACCUUAUAAUCCUUUGAAUAUAAGGCCAUCAAUGGAGUCAAAUAACACGUUUGAAGACAAUUGAAAAGAUCUUGAAUACCUUUGUUUAUAAAAAUAUCUUUGUUUGUGCAUUCCGAUAAAUUUUUCGAAUUUCGCGUCGAACUACGAAUCGUAGACGUUAUAAUCAAAAUAAAGAGUAGAUCUCUUGUCAGAAAAAAAAUAGUCGAUAUUCGCCAGUCAAUAAUAACCCGGUAAUUAAUCUGUCAAUAACUCUGUGAUUAGUUAUUACAUUUGUAUUCUGCAUUCUUUUUAAUUGCUAAUUAGUUAGUAAGUCCGUAUUCCGUAUUCUGUGAAAUCAGUAAUAAACUAAUUAAUCUUGAAGCAGAAAUUUGUGAAACUACAAUUCAAUUUCAAAUUUCUUCUCUAUUCUCUUAUAACUUUUACUGAACAUUAUUUAGAUGGAAAUCUAUUUUUAAAGUAACUUGAAAUAUUUAUUUUUAAUAGUCUGCUCUUAGUUUUGUUCGAUUUCCACCCUCUAUAUCACGUCACUCGACGUGAAUCCAAUUCACAUUCCUAAUCCCUGGUGAAGAUUUCACGGUCCAAUCAAAAACUAAUCAUCUUAAAUUAUCCAACUGGACUUAACACAUGAUCUCGUCCAAAUUGUCAUAAUGUCAUAUUUGUCGGUCACAAUGUAUGAAAUUUGACAUGUCGAGGUGACAAAGUAACUAUUACAGUAAUCCAUGACGGAAUCAUUUUGAUUCACAUCGAUAUUAUACUAAUAUACAUAUUGACGAUAAUUCGAGCUUCUCAUGAAUAUUAUACCAACAAUGAUAGAGGUCGCUCGAGCACACGUUUUGCUUCCUCAAAGUAAACGAAUUAAAUUGUGUUCUUUGUUACCAUACUCUUCGCUGCGGAGUUAUUGCAGUGUAGUACGAUCAUCAUGUAAUUGCUUACGUCUACAUGGACAGUUUCAUUACUGUGUUCGUUAUUACUCUCGUGACAAAAAGUCCCGCCGAGACCAAUGACUCCAGCAUUGUAUAUGGAGGAUUUAAUCGGUCGUAAAUACUAUCCACCGUAUGCUCUUCAUUCUCAUCCAACAGACCGGCAUCGAUUGCAUUGACAUCCAGCGAAGAUGAAGCCUUAGACUGGGAUUGGAACGAUUCCGAAGAUAAGUCUUUCAAACUGACACACACACACACAUAUGUAUUAUAUAUUUAUAUACGAUAUUCAAUUCAAGAAUCAAUGAAAACCGAAAUAAUAUCAAUAUAAGAAAAUAUAUAUAUAUUUAUGUAUUUGUAGGAUAGCUCUCGAGAAUAAAUGAUUUUUCUUUUGUAUUGAUCAUAAAGUAACCGCGUGAAUGAGUUAGCAAGCUGACUAGAAAAAAAAGCGAGCAUCAUGCACACGUUCGUUCGGAGUGUAUUAAGCGAGCAUUGCGAUUUGUCAAAUGGUUUAUACCAACAAAGAAUUCAGAUUGAUUGAUUUUGUGAGCAUGGUCUCAUUUUUAAGAUAAAUAUGUUUUGAACGAGGAGACGGCGUUCUGAAAUUUUUUAAAACCUUUUUUUAUGCUCAGGAACAACAUUUUUGACAGGACUUUUUCGAAGAAAAUAAAGCUUUUUCAAAAAUUUGAACGAAUCGGCUCCUCGUUUGAAUCUUCAUUUUUAAAAUGAAACAUCGUUGAUCAAAAUUGGUUAAGAAUUAUGCCCAGAUUCAUUGUUGAUAUAAACGUUGUUUCCAUCAUCGUUUAUCGUGAAGAAUAAGUCUCGUAUAGUGGCGCCCCUUCAAAUCUACAGUGAAAGAGACGAAGCUCCUAUCUCCGCUCCUAUCUCUACUGAUUUCAUGUAAAUGCUUGAAUGGUGUUUGUUUUGUUUCCAUGAACUGGCCAAUUUUCUAAUUAUUUGUAUGCUUAAGCUGAUUCUCAUCUCGUCAAAUGUUCUGAAUCCAAAUGCAAGAAAACGCAUUUGAACGAAAUGCUUACACAAAGGACUCACUUGGUGAUUUUGAUUUCAUUAAAAAAUUAUUAAAUACUAUUUAUUAAUCGUAAUAACCAACGUAAAUAUGAAAAUCUUACGACUAUGCAGCUCAGAUCCUACUCCGUGAACUUCGAGAGCGUCGAAAGUGGAAAUAAACGGACCGAACAAACGUUUCCUCUUGCCCCUGUAUUGUUCCUAAAGUAAACUCUUGUGCUCUGCAUAAUACAUUCUACUACGUUACAUACGACGAUGAUGAUUUAUAAUAAUAAAGGAGAAAGCAUAUAUUUGUAAAAAAUAUAACCAAUCUAGACGCACUAGUGUCUCACAAAGAUCUCUGUGAGAUCUCCCCUUUUGCAUUACAUCAGCUCGCAUAAUGGUUUUUCAUGCAAACGAACAUCGUGUAUAAUUGCGACACAUGAUCAUCCAUCGAUAGGUAUACCUAAUACUAAUCGGAUAGGAUGACAAGUACAAAGUUCCUUUAAUUUUCGUCCAUUACUUGUCUUUCAGCCGUAUAAUUGUAUUACCAGUUGAUAAUACUCGGUUUUGUCUUUAUUCAAUUUUUUGUAUUUUGGUUCUUAUUGACAAUGUUUAACGUAAAAGGAAAAGAAUCGAUUUACAGAAAAGAUUAGAAAAACGAUCUAGGGCAGUAACCAAUCAAAUAAAUGAUCCAAAGCAGAACUUUUUAUAAUCUCAACGAGCACAUUCAGAAAAAAAUUAAGCAUACAGGAUAGACACCGCCAGAAAUGUUUGCGUAUUUAGCUUCUCUCAGAGAUAACAACAUCUCUAUAAUAUAUUAUAAUAUAUAUUGAUCGUUACUUCGAUCCUAAAGCAAUAAUGUAUCGGGUAGCAGCGCUAAUAGAUAAUAGAGUGCAUAGAUACUGCAGGAAAAUGUCAAAGAAAAUAUUCAAGUGAAAAUAAAAAAUUUUCCUAUUUCAAUUGGAUGAAAUAUUUAUACAACAUGUAUAUGCAUAUGUAUCUAUGAAUAAUACAAAAAAGUUCGAAGCUACGUAUGUUUGAUGAAUACUGCUUUCUAUUCUCUUUUUCCUUUUUAUAUACUUCUUUGUUAUUUUUAUAUAUAAAAACAUUUCUUCAAACAUAUAGCCCUUAAUAAAUCUACACCUUUUGGAUGCAUACUCAUAAUAUUCAUAUAUACCUCAUAUCAGUGAACUUCAGAAGUUCCCUGCGCAUAAAUAUAUGAAAACUUCGUCCUUAUAAAUAUAUAAUAAGUUACAGUUCGUUUUAUACACGACCGCAGGGAGUUUCUUAUACAAUCGUCAUUGCAAAAGAUGUUCCCUCACUAUAACUUUCGAUAGAAACGGAAUAUUUCAGUUCUAUUUAAAAUUCUGGAUAGAUUAGGACGUUUUCUAUUUUCUUUUUCGCAAAAAUGAAGUUUUUUUUAUUGUCAACGCAGAGAUAAUAUUUUUAUAAUAUAAUUAAUAAUAAAUGCUAUUGUUCUCUAUAAAUUUCAUUCGUGGCCGAUGAAAGAAUUUAACGGGCACUCCUACAAUAAGUUAUUUAUACGAUAGCGAAUAAUUUUCAUAACGUUUUGAAACUUUAUUAAUUUUUUUUUUCCAGUUAAAUAUAUAAAAUAUAACGAUUCAAGCAUUAAUCAUAAGAAAAUAAUUUUUUGCUUCCCACUAACAUAAGCAGGCCUAAUAUGCUUUUCGUAAAACGAAUAUAUAUCGGCUUGCUAAAAUGAUUAAAGUUUACACGUAAAACGUCUAUUAAGUCUGAUGCAACAAUUAAUGUAUUCACUCUUAUUUAUUUAUUUUCUUUUUCUUCUUUUUUCUUUUUUUUUGUUUUGAGUUUCAUUUUACAACACAAGAUUAAUGCGCGAAUUAGGAAAUUUGAUUUAUAUUUAUAUACGUAUACGCAUAGGAAAACAAUGUUGAAAUCUCUCGGCGUUUCUGUAUCAGGUCGUUCGAAACAUUUCUCUUUUUCUUUUUUUUUUUUUUUUUUUAUCAAAGCUCUCAUGUUUCGAAACAUUUCGAAAAUUUAUAAUUCACGAAAGCUCUAAUAAGUCAACAAAAGCAUUCGAAGUAAAAAAUGGAUUACAACGGGGAACAGUAAAUUCGCUAAUACUAUUCAACAUUACAUAUUUCAACAUAUACUGUUUGGAAAUAACUUGGAAGAAGAGAAGAUACGUCUAUAAAAGCGAAGCUAUCGCAGACACCGUAUAUUAUACGCCGCGCUAACUAUGAAAUAAAAAUGUAAUACAAAACAAAUUACAAACUUUAUGUGAAAAAUCAAUAAUUGCCUGAUGAACUGGAAAUUAAAAAUAAACCCUAACAAAUAUGAAACAAUAUUAUUCCGACCUACUUUUAAAGUGGCCUCAUCGAGAAGUAUAAAGAAUGUGAAAGAAGAUUCAAAUAUAAGGAGGUAAAAAGUCUAGAAUCACAGUACAUCAGAAGCUAUUGGUCAAGUAUUUAGGAGUACAGGUAAAAGUUCAUAAAUGAAAUAUUUGAAGCGUAUAUACAACUUGAAUUUUCAUAUCGAUCUCAUAGGUUGUUUCCCCUAUUCUCUUGCGUUAAGUAUCAUUAGAAUAGAAAUAUUAAUUAUUUGUCUAGACAUAAUCAGAGUUUUAAUUAAAAAAAAUCUAUUUCAUUAUCGUCGUCAAUGUAUUAAUUUACGCAAAGAAUUGGAAAUGACUGACCUCGAUUGAUGAAAUCAUAUUUUUUUGUCUAGGUUGCGCCUUAUACGACAAUAACGAAACGCAAUGAACAAUAAAUUUUUUGAUAGCUCAUUCUUUUUAUCUCAUCGCUCGUUACUUUCACGUUGCAACUUGCAAGGCAUAGGAUACGUAUAUAAUACUUGUAAUAGAUUUACAUGUAUCAUAAGGAAUAUCACAUAGGAAAAAAUGCGAAGGAUAAAGUUUAAACAUGCUACGUAGGAUAAAAUAGGAGAAGAACUGUGUCGCUCGUAUAUAUUAUGUUAAAAUUCUCUGAUUAACGCAAAACUUGUUUUCCUUUUCGCAUCCGUAGAAAGCGAAAUAAUCUCAUGGCCACGUUACCAUAACAACGACUAAAUUAUAUAUAGAGUUAGCCAUUAAUGGGAUUAACGUUAUAAUCCAGAAAGAAAUUAUUUCUCUUAUCUUUUGUAUAUUUUUUGUUCGAUUAACUUAACACAAGAUUUUUGGCUCGUUCCAUAACCUAUUCUCGAAAAUAUCAUUGAAUUUGGUUGGACAAUCUUGACAAUAGAUACAAAUAUAAGUAAUAAUACGAUACAAAUUCAUAUAUCUCUUUACGAGUUAUAUUACUUCUCGAGAACUUUCACUCAAGAACUUUGUACAUUCUUUCUUCUUAUAUCUUUCUUGAUUAUGUUCACACAUAUACAGAUACAUACACAUACACGUAUCCGUGCAUAUAACAUCUAAUCUUAUUAUUAGAAUAUAAUCGAACAAAUCGUAUCUCUUGUUUGUGCUUGGAAGAAAGCUCACAGUAUGUUUUUUAUGUUAGAUUCGCGAAGAACGAGAGCGGGCCAGAUAGAGAGAGGGAGAGAGAGAGAGGGAGAGAGAGAGAGAGAGAGAGAGAGAGAGAGAGAGAGAGAGAGAGAGAGAGAGAGAGAGAAAGAUAAUUGACUA